rnacentral:misc_RNA from 1 species
GAUGAAGAACGCAGUGAAAUGCGAUACUUGGUGUGAAUUGCAGAAUCCCGCGAAUCAUCGAGUUUUUGAACGCAAGUUGCGCCCGAAGCCAUUCGGCCGAGGGCACGUCUGCCUGGGUGUCACGCAUCGUUGCCCCCCCAAACUCCGGUUCGGGCGGGGCGGAAGUUGGCCUCCCGUGCGUGCCUGCGCGCGCGGUUAGCCCAAAAGCGAGUCCUCGGCGACGAGCGCCACGACAAUCGGUGGUUUUUUUACCCUCGUUCCUCGUCGUGCGUGUCCCGUCGCCCGAACGCGCUCUUGUGACCCUCACGCGUCGCCUCGGCGGCGCUCCCACCGCGACCCCAGGUCAGGCGGGACUACCCGCUGAGUUUAAGCAUAUCAAUAAGCGGAGGA